AACGAACCUUCGGGUUAGUGGCGGACGGGUGAGUAACGCGUGAGAAUCUGCCCUCAGGAGGGGGAUAACGGUUGGAAACGACCGCUAAUACCCCAUAUGCCUACUGGUGAAAUGAAUUUCGCCUGAGGAUGAGCUCGCGUCUGAUUAGCUAGUUGGUGAGGUAAUGGCUCACCAAGGCUUCGAUCAGUAGCUGGUCUGAGAGGAUGAUCAGCCACACUGGGACUGAGACACGGCCCAGACUCCUACGGGAGGCAGCAGUGGGGAAUUUUCCGCAAUGGGCGAAAGCCUGACGGAGCAACGCCGCGUGAGGGACGAAGGCCUCUGGGCUGUAAACCUCUUUUCUCAAGGAAGAAGAUA
rnacentral:rRNA from 1 species